rnacentral:lncRNA from 1 species
AGGAAGGUUCGUGGAAUGUGGUCUUGAGAGGUACGGGCACCUACUCUCAAAGAAAGAUUUUUUUGAUGUGAUCACACUGACUUAUGUGCGGAUGGAUAGAGGCGGCGCAUCCCAAAAUUAGGAAAGUUUGCCUUUUCCUCGUCUCCAUAGCCAAACACCAACAGCGGUACAGCACUGUCAAACUAUAAAUGUCAAUGGC